ensembl:snRNA U1 U1 spliceosomal RNA
CUGAUCACCUGGCAGGGAGAUGCCAUGAUCACGAAGGUGGCUUUCCCAGGGUGAGGCUCACCUGUUGCACUCUGGGUGUGCUGACCCCUGUGAUCUCCCCAAACGUGGGAAACGUGACUGCAGUAAUUUGUGGUCGUGGGGGACUGUGUUCACGCUUAACCCUG